rnacentral:lncRNA from 1 species
GCAAACAAAAAGUAUAAGCACCUCAUUUAUAUUUAAGGGCCCUUUCUUCUUUUGUUCGGUAAACACUGAUAUUUUUACUAAAUGUCGUAUAUUUAUGUAGGUGCCCGACAUCUUUAACCGUAUUUUGCAGUCAAGCACCAUGCAGUUGGCCAGCAUUGCAGAAACAUCAAGCGUUCGGCACAUUGAGGUGCUAAGCCAUUGAGGGCUUGGUGGUGAUUGGCAAAACCCCUUUGCUUUCGAACCCCUUGUCCUCUGUCUCUAUGGUUUUCUGAUUCCAGUUCUUUAUUCUUAAAAAUCAGAUCUAAAUUUGUUUAUUGUGAUUGCGAUUCUGUUCGUUCUAAAUAACUUUCUCAUUGACAAAGAAAGUAUAUGUCCCAUAAAGAACUGCAAAAAGUUCAAAAACAAAGAAAGUAGCGUUAAACCACUAAUGAACAUGUCUAGAAGUAUGUAUAUGGUAUAUGCCCC